GGUGCCUUCGGGAACUCUGAGACAGGUGCUGCAUGGCUGUCGUCAGCUCGUGUUGUGAAAUGUUGGGUUAAGUCCCGCAACGAGCGCAACCCUUAUCCUUUGUUGCCAGCGGUCCGGCCGGGAACUCAAAGGAGACUGCCAGUGAUAAACUGGAGGAAGGUGGGGAUGACGUCAAGUCAUCAUGGCCCUUACGAGUAGGGCUACACACGUGCUACAAUGGCGCAUACAAAGAGAAGCGACCUCGCGAGAGCAAGCGGACCUCAUAAAGUGCGUCGUAGUCCGGAUUGGAGUCUGCAACUCGACUCCAUGAAGUCGGAAUCGCUAGUAAUCGUGGAUCAGAAUGCCACGGUGAAUACGUUCCCGGGCCUUGUACACACCGCCCGUCACACCAUGGGAGUGGGUUGCAAAAGAAGUAGGUAGCUUAACCUUCGGGAGGGCGCUUACCACUUUGUGAUUCAUGACUGGGGUGAAGUCGUAACAAGGUAACCGUAGGGGAACCUGCGGUUGGAUCACCUCCUUA
rnacentral:rRNA from 1 species